rnacentral:rRNA from 1 species
AUGCACCAGUCGGCCCACUGCAAGCCUAGUCGGCCCACUGCAGGCCUAUCGGCCAACUGCAGGCCGACUGGGCCUGAUCUGGUCGCCGACAGCCCAAUCGGCCAGCAGCAAGCUGAUGGGCCACCAGUCGGCCUGCUGUGGGCUGACUGGGCUCAGUCGGCCUGCAACGGGCCGACGUCGCAUAUCAGAACUGUACGUAUUUCGCCAUUUACAAUUUUAGUGUACCUUGCGUAUCGCAACCAGGCCAUAACAGAACAGAUCCAAGCACGCUCUUCAACCGUGCUGAUAGCGAACUCAUGGACCGAGUACCUGCACAGCGGGUGCACGCCGUCGAUCAUCCACCGGGACAUCAAGGCGAGCUACAUCCCGCUGGACAAGGAGAUGAGAGCCAAGGUCUCCGACUUUGGGCUGUCGAAGCUAGUUGUGGAGGAGUCCCACGGAGCAUCCACCAGUGUACUACAUCUCUCAGCAGCUGGCGGAGAAGAGCAACGUGUACAGCUUUGGGAUCAUCCUGCUGGAGCUCAUCUCGGGGCGGCCAAGUUCUACUACGAGAGCGGGGACAUCGAGGCGGUGGUGGACCCGGCGAUCGCGGGUGAGUAUUGGGGCGUGCACUCGGUGUGGAAGGUGGCGGAGACGGCGGUACGGUGCAUCGGCGUGGACGCCCGGCGCCGGCUAUGCAUGGCGGAGGUGGUGAAGGAGGUCUACGAGGCCAUCCCGCUGGAGCGGACCCCGAGGGACGAGGGGCAGGGAGGUCGAGCGACAUGA